rnacentral:rRNA from 1 species
AUGGAGUCUCCACCUACGUAUCCUACGCCGUUCGACGUGACCAUGAAGGAGUUCAGGGACUUUGUAGUCCCUGGCAUGAUGCACUGGGCCAGCCCAAACUUCUUCGCGUUCUUCCCCGCCACCAAUAGCAUUGCCGCCAUCGCCGGUGACAUCAUUGCUUCUUCCCCGUACACCGUUGGUUCCACGUGGCAGGCCGCCCGCGUGGCAUCCGAGCUGUUUUCUACUAGUGUUGACUGGCUUGCGCAGCUCCUUCGCCUGCCGGCCAAAUUCAUGAAUCGCAUUGGCACUGGUAGUCAUGGCACCAGCGGUACUAUAAUCUUCGACACCACCAUUAAGGCUAUGUUGGUCACCCUCAUUGCCGCCUGUGACGCUGCACUGCAUCAGAGCGGCGGUGUGUCCUACAUGACAUGUUUGGCAGCCUAUGCCGCUGACCAGAUCCACUUCACCUUCUUCAAGACGUGUCGCCUUGCCGGCAAUGACCCAGCCAACAUCCGCUCCAUCCCUACCAUGUCAGAGGACGAGUAUGAGCUCAAACUGGCCAAGCUGCUCCAGUCUAUGCAGGUUGACGCUGAUGAUGGCCUCGUGCCAACGUACGUUUGCGCCCCGUUCGACACCAUAUCCUCCAAUUCUGUCGACCCGCUGGGCGACAUCGCCGAUGUUGCCGUAUUGUUCGGUGCAUGGGUCCACGUCGACGCUGCCUACACUGGCAGCGCCUACAUAUGCCCGGAAUUCCGCCACUACCUUGACGGCAUUGACCGUGUGGACUCCAUUAAUGUCAGUCCACACAAGUGGCUCCUUACUCGCCUCGACUGUGCCUGCCUCUACGUUCGUGACCCUCACCGACUGAGUGACUCCAUGGAAACCAACCCAGAGUACCUCAAGAACGAUGACACUGACUGCGGCAAGGUAACCGAUCUAAAGGACAUGCAGGCCGGCGUGGGUCGCCAGUUCCGCGGGCUCAAAUUGUGGAUGGUCAUGCGCACCUACGGCACCGCCAAGCUCUAAGGUCACAUCCGCAGCAAUGUCGCCGUGGUCAAGAUGUUUGAAGGACUCGUCCGUGCCGAUCAGUGGUUCAAGAUCGUUGUGUCUAGGACCUUUGCCAUGGUGUGCUUCAGGAUCAGGCCCAGUGGAACCAUUACCGAGGAGGAAGCCUAUGAGGCCAACCAUGUGCUGAUGAAGAAUCUGAAUAAGACAGGCAAGGUGUACAUUACGCACACAGUGUUUGGUGAUAGGGUUGUGCUCCGAGCUGCAGUGGGGUCAUCAUUGCAAGAAGAGAGCCAUGUGAGGAGUGCUUGAGAGCUCAUCAAGAGAACAACCAACAAGAUGACGAUGGAAUAA